rnacentral:rRNA from 1 species
UAUCUCUGUAGAGUCUGCAUAUCAAUAAGCGGAGGAAAAGAAACUAACAAGGAUUCCCUUAGUAACGGCGAGUGAAGCGGGAAGAGCUCAAAUUUGAAAUCUUCAAGGUUUUACCUUGACGAAUUGUAGUCUAAAGAAGUGUUUUCUGUUGGAGUUUUGGUAAAAGUUCUUUGGAAUAGGACAUCAUAGAGGGUGAGAAUCCCGUAUUUGACCAUUAUUUCCAGCUGUGUGAUACACUUUCAAAGAGUCGGAUUGUUUGGAAAUGCAGUCCAAAAUGGGUGGUAAAUUUCAUCUAAGGCUAAAUAUUGGCGAGAGACCGAUAGCGAACAAGUACCGUGAGGGAAAGAUGAGAAGAACUUUGAAAAGAGAGUUAAACAGUACGUGAAAUUGUCAAAAGGGAAGCGUUUGACACCAGUGUUGUUUUCUCGAAAAUCAAUUAAAAAUGAUGGGAUUUUGUGUUGUAUUGACUUUAUCAGCUUUCUGCACUUUUUUCUUAUCUUUUUUAAUGCACUUUUCGUUUAACAAGUCAACAUCAAUUUCUUUUGUUGUAAAAGAGUCAUUGGAAGGUGGCUUUUUCUUCGGAAAAAGUGUUUAUAGCCUUUGGCUUCUGCAAUCGGAGAGAUUGAGGUCUGCAGCGUAGAUCCUUCGGGGUUAGAUACAUUUGUGCUAAGCUAUAGUUCUUUAUAGACAACUUGUUGACUAUAAUCAAUCCUGUAACUUACUCGCUUAUGCUAUUUUACCUACGCUUAGGAUGUUGAUGUGAUACUGCGAGCA